AACGAACGCUGGCGGCAGGCUUAACACAUGCAAGUCGAGCGCCCCGCAAGGGGAGCGGCAGACGGGUGAGUAACGCGUGGGAACGUACCCUUUGCUACGGAAUAGCUCCGGGAAACUGGAAUUAAUACCGUAUGUGCCCUACGGGGGAAAGAUUUAUCGGCAAAGGAUCGGCCCGCGUUGGAUUAGUUAGUUGGUGGGGUAAUGGCCUACCAAGGCGACGAUCCAUAGCUGGUCUGAGAGGAUGAUCAGCCACAUUGGGACUGAGACACGGCCCAGACUCCUACGGGAGGCAGCAGUGGGGAAUAGUGGACAAUGGGCGCAAGCCUGAUCCAGCCAUGCCGCGUGAGUGAUGAAGGCCUUAGGGUUGUAAAGCUCUUUCACCGGAGAAGAUAAUGACGGUAUCCGGAGAAGAAGCCCCGGCUAACUUCGUGCCAGCCGCCGCGGUAAGAC
rnacentral:rRNA from 1 species